GACGAACGCUGGCGGCGUGCCUAAUACGUGCAAGUCGAGCGAAUCGAUGGGAGCUUGCUCCCUGAGAUUAGCGGCGGACGGGUGAGUAACACAUGGGUAACCUGCCUGUAAGACUGGGAUAACUUCGGGAAACCGGAGCUAAUACCGGAUACUUUCUUUUCUCGCAUGAGGGAAGAUGGAAAGAUGGUUCUGCUAUCACUUACAGAUGGACCCGCGGCGCAUUAGCUAGUUGGUGAGGUAACGGCUCACCAAGGCGACGAUGCGUAGCCGACCUGAGAGGGUGAUCGGCCACACUGGGACUGAGACACGGCCCAGACUCCUACGGGAGGCAGCAGUAGGGAAUCUUCCGCAAUGGACGAAAGUCUGACGGAGCAACGCCGCGUGAGCGAAGAAGGCCUUCGGGUCGUAAAGCUCUGUUGUUAGGGAAGAACAAGUACGAGAGUAACUGCUCGUACCUUGACGGUACCUAACCAGAAAGCCACGGCUAACUACGUGCCAGCAGCCGCCGUAACAC
rnacentral:rRNA from 1 species